rnacentral:rRNA from 1 species
GCUCAGGAUGAACGCUGGCGGCGUGCCUAAUACAUGCAAGUCGAGCGAACAGAUAAGGAGCUUGCUCCUUUGACGUUAGCGGCGGACGGGUGAGUAACACGUGGAUAACCUACCUAUAAGACUGGGAUAACUUCGGGAAACCGGAGCUAAUACCGGAUAACAUAUUGAACCGCAUGGUUCAAUAGUGAAAGGCGGCUUUGCUGUCACUUAUAGAUGGAUCCGCGCCGUAUUAGCUAGUUGGUAAGGUAACGGCUUACCAAGGCAACGAUACGUAGCCGACCUGAGAGGGUGAUCGGCCACACUGGAACUGAGACACGGUCCAGACUCCUACGGGAGGCAGCAGUAGGGAAUCUUCCGCAAUGGGCGAAAGCCUGACGGAGCAACGCCGCGUGAGUGAUGAAGGUCUUCGGAUCGUAAAACUCUGUUAUCAGGGAAGAACAAAUGUGUAAGUAACUGUGCACAUCUUGACGGUACCUGAUCAGAAAGCCACGGCUAACUA